ensembl:lncRNA
CUUAUAUAUAAAAAGAUAUACAUACAUUUGUGGGUGGACUUGUAGGUCUAAAAUAUCACUAUGUUAUUGAAAAUUCAUCUUAUUUACCUAUCAGUUCGAAUCUUCUGCACUUUUAUUUUGAGGAAUCAUAGGGUGGCUUGGGUUGGAAGGGACUUGAAGGAUCAUCAAGCUCCAAUCCCCCACCACAGGGAGAGCCACCAACCUCCACAUUUGAUAGGAAUCAUUUCUUAGCCAUGUAAUCUGGUGUGGAAGACUUUGGAAUGCUGGCAAGAUGUUGGUGCUGGUCUGGGAAUAGCUGUGCUAUCUUUGUGACAAAGAGGAUACACUUUCUCAGCAGGCCAUGGACAGUAAAAAAGACUGGAGAAAGAAAGGAGUAAACGUCCUUGGGAACUGCAUAUUUAGCUCAUUUCUGGAUUUCAAACACAAGGGACUAUUCUUCAUGCACUGACUUGAUAUGCUUUGUAUGUUGCUUGCUAUUUAUUCUCCAUUAAUUGUGUCACUUCUAGCUGACUGAUGCAAAGUAGGAGAUAACAGAAAUGGCACAGGCUGCACAGAAGAGCUGUGGGGUCUCCAACUCUGGAGACAUUCAAAACCCUCCUGGACAUGUUCCUGCGUGACCUGAUCUAGGUGUUCCUCUUCCAGCAGGGAUACUGGACUAGAUUAAUUACUAUUCUGAAUGUUUUCAUUGUGACCAAGCUAAUCCCCUGUUGUAUCAUGGAGCCUCUAUCUUGAGAACAAAUUAUAGUAUAACCAGCACUAGUCAAGACUUAGUACUACAGAGAAGAUUAAAGAUUAUUGUCCCAUCCCUGGAGGCAUUCAAGGCCAGGCUGGAUGUGGCUGUGGGCAUUCUGGUCUGGUGGUUGGCAAUCCUGCACAUAGCAGGGGGGUUGAAACUAGAUGAGCACUGUGGUCCUUCUCAACCCAUUCUAUGAUUGUAUAAUUCUAUGAUUCCAUGAUUCUAUUAUAUAUAUAUAAUAAUGAAUUUAAGAUUGUGCUACUGUAUCUAUGCAUUUAUCCAUAUGACCAUAACUUGAAAAAUGGACUCAUUUUCUCUGAUCUUGGGUUAUAACCACCUUAUUAAAAAUAAAAGAAAAGAGAAAGAAAAUCAAGCACUUCUAAUUUUUUCCUUGGUUUGUGCAGAAUAGAUUGUUCAAUUACUUAAUAAUAUAGGACAGAUAAACUAUAUUUCA